rnacentral:rRNA from 1 species
CGCGGUGGCAAACGGGCGGAAAUGAAACAUCUGCAUAGACGGAAGAAGAGUCUAUAACCGUAAGUUCUGACAGUAUGCAUUCAAAAGCGCAACAAAUAAUAUAUACCUAACGCGAGGCUCCAGCACGCGUUCAUGGCAAUAGCGGGUCCGAAGAUGGAGUAGAAGGAGACAGGGAGACAAAGAGGGUCUGAGGC